GUCUUAGAGCCUUAAAGAAGUGACGAUUUUAAGCAAAAGUCAUGAUUGGUAAGCAGCAGAUAUUGCUGAGAGCUAUUACUCUUUUCCUCCAGGUUUGCCCAGGAAUCACAGUGGGACCUGUUUGAACACUAUUUCUCCAAGGCUUGCCAGUUGGUGAAAAAAACCAAUGCUUCGCUAUUUGGUGCACAUGGCUUUGUCCGAUUCCUAGAGUGCCAUGUGCUAAUGUUACAGAAAAUACCAGAGGGUAUCUUCAUGCAUAUUCCUCUAGAGCUUCGCAGCCAAACCCUUGAGUACUUUAAGGAGUUCUUCUGUCGAUGUGUGACCUGCCCUGUCUAUCACCAGUGGGUAUCUGAGCUUAAGGCCUCUGUAAUGAGAUGUGAAAAGAGAGAAUUCAUGUCCCUGACUAACAGCAUCAGACCUUUUGACACUUGCUUGACCAGGAUUUGGAUAAAAGGAGAAUUUCUGCAGGAAAAUAACUCUUAGAAAAGAAAUUUAGGAAUACAGAGAUUUAACAGAGUGGCUGAUGUCAAGGAGAACAAGGAUACAGAAGAAACUCAAGAUAUAUGUGUUAAAAGAACAAUAACCUGAAGGGACCGUGAUUCUCCUAUUGUAUAUAACACAAGGAAAUGCCCCAGAUUCUCCUUUUAAAUAUAUAGUGUACAUAUUAAGUAUACUAGCCUUUAUAGUUACUGCUAUCUAUAUGUUUAUCAAAAUAAAA
rnacentral:lncRNA from 1 species